UGCUUGUGGCAUGUGUAACAGAUGCAAAAUGUCACGCGCCUGGCAAGUAGUCUGUAAUAAAUUAUAACGAUAUGAAAGGAAGGAGGAACUUUAAGAAAUAAUAAGACUUCUUUAUAAUUCAUCGAUGAGCAUGAAACACACCAUCGUUGUUUGUUUAAAUCAUCAUCAUAACUAAAAAUGAAAAUGCUAUCAUAAUGAUCUACAACUGUUUAAAACACAGAUAUAGAUAAUAGUUUAUUAUCUAUAUCUGUGGUUUAAAAUGAAAAAAUGUUAUCACAAUUCUCAAUAUCAUUUGAUAAGAUAAUAAAAGUUGUAAGUCUAUUUUCUUACAAUUAUUUAAUAAAUUUUUGAAUUGACAGCCAAAAAAAAAAAAAAAUAACUUCUCGAAAUUAUGAAGCAACUUUCUAUUUUUCUUGAUGGAGCAUCAUGUCACAUAGUGGUGAAUAUUUUUCAUAAACAUGGGAAAAACUGGAUAAUUAGACCUACUAAAACAAUUAAAAUUUAAAGCAAGUUUAUUAAGAAAAAAUAAUCUGCAAAAUCACGUCAUCUUAGUUAAUUGUUACAUUUUAAAAAAAUUAUAUCUUUCGUUAGAGUAAUAAAUCAAUUAUAUUAUACUUGAAAAUUUUAGUCCUAAAUAAAAAUAAAAUUUUAACAGUAAUGCAGCAAGAGGGGUCACUAAGACCAUUCCUAUUCUUCAUUGGUUAAUAUACAUUGGAUAUAUAAAUUCUAAAAUGGAGUGGUGAGUAAAUAAAAGGACUAAAUAUAGAAUAAAAAAAAAACUAGCUAUGUCACUAAACAAGUUUUACCUGAACCAUAUUGUACUUAACUAUGAACAAUUUACAAUAAAUUCUUUCAAAAUAUGUAUUCAUAAAAAUAUUAUAUUUACACAUUACCUUUAAAAGAAAUUUGUUUUAAUUAAAAAAAAAAAAAAAUAACAAAACCUUAACUCGUCAUCGUUAAAUAACAAAUAUUAU